GCAUACUGAUAGUUUCCCUUUUGUUUUAUAGGAUUAACUAAUUUUCCUGGCAUUUAGAGUGUCGAGGCUUGCUUUGGCCUGCCAAAUUUCUGCGGCAGAAAAAACAUGGCUGAUUCGAGAGGGGAAGAGGGUGUUGGUGCAUCAGCUAGUGAUUACAUACCAGAACCAUGUGAACCUGAAUUUCGAUGAUGAUCCUCCUUCGAUGUCCCUUGCUAGUUUGUUUGAGGAGAAUGAGCAGUGGCACUGGAUGUUGAUGACCACCAAGUGUGGUUGAUUCGUGCUAGCAAACUUUCGACAUUCACACGUAUUGUAUGCAGCAAUGAGCAUUUACAUAGCAUUGCGAGAAGAAAGUUGUAGCUACUGGAUACCAUGAAUGCAUUAGAGGACUCACAUUUGUGUCAGCUAGGAUGGCGUGUAUUAUAGUGUAGAAAGAAGAAGUUACAAGUGAGGAUUCCAGGCGAAGCGAGAGUACGGCCUUGGUGGCAUUAUUCUCUUCGAGCAUGCACGUCCGAAGCUAAAUUGUACUGGCAUGGUUACUUCGUAAGGUUGAAGAUUGGUUGCAUCAUAUUCUGCUAAGUUAUAGGCCGGGUCCUGCUUUUGUACAUCAAGUAUUCUGUCUGGGUGAUAUUCACGUCCUCAUUAAUGUUGAUUCCAUUUUUUUUCAUAUUACCUUAUGGGACGAGCUUGAUUAUGGAAUGAUCUUGAUUAUGGGGCGAAAUUGAUUCUGGGCGAGUUUGACUGGGGCGUGAUUACAUUCCUUUUGGGAAUUAUGGGACGAUCUUGAU